rnacentral:rRNA from 1 species
CCUACGGGUGGCUGCAGUGAGGAAUAUUGGUCAAUGGAGGCAACUCUGAACCAGCCAAGUCGCGUGCAGGAUGACGGCCCUAUGAGUUGUAAACUGCUUUUAUACGGGGAUAAACUGAGUCACGUGUGUCUUAUUGCAGGUACCGCAUGAAUAAGGACCGGCUAAUUCCGUGCCAGCAGCCGCGGUAAUACGGAGGGUCCGGGCGUUAUCCGGAUUUAUUGGGUUUAAAGGGUGCGUAGGCGGCCCCUUAAGCGUGUUGUGAAAUGCCGCGGCUCAACCGUGGCACUGCAGCGAGUACUGGGGGGCUAGGGUGUGGCUGCGGUAGGCGGAAUUCGUGGUGUAGCGGUGAAAUGCUUAGAUAUCACGAAGAACUCCGAUUGCGAAGGCAGCCUACCGUAGCGUUACUGACGCUGAGGCUCGAAGGUGCGGGUAUCGAACAGGAUUAGAUACCCUUGUAGUC